rnacentral:lncRNA from 1 species
GAAGACCAAGAUUUUUUUCAUGUGCGACCUGUGACGCCCCCACUUCUCCCUAAGGCGAACCAAAGGGUAUCCGCGGAACGCCUGCCUAGCUCUCGCCAGGACUCAAGCAAUUCCAUUCAACUUAUAGCCAGACCACACAAUACAAGCCAAUAACUUAGAUACAAUAAAUGCGGAAGUAUUCAAACUUAAUAAUAGUCAUCCAUUCUCCAAACCACACGUCAGAAUAUCGAUUACAUUUCGUCCAAAGGGUCACAUCACGGGGUACCUAUCAGCUUGUCACCCGCACGCGGGCAUCCCCUACGGAGAGUUUCGCUUCGUGACUCUUCACGAACGAGAGGCUCGGGGCUUUUCCAGACGAAGGACUUAAGGUCCCAACUGUCGGCAUAUGGCUCUGAUACCAACUGUGACAGUUCUCAAGGUCACAUUUCCAUACCAAAAGUACAAUUCCAAAACCAAAGGCAUAACCAAAAGUAAUAACAAGCCCUAAACAAAAGUACAUCAAGAGGGCUUCUCCAUUUUACCUUCGAGUUCAAACCUGUUAAGGAAAACAAAUCUACAGGGUGAGCAAAACGCUCGUGAGGCCAAGAACACACAUGCAACCACAUAGUUCAGAUAACAAGCCCAAUAACAAUUCAGGUAUUAUCUUGCAAGUAAUUAAUAACACCAAUAAACUGUAACCAGAAACAAUUCAAGGAUAUAGAAGCUCUCAGGAGCUAAGUUCCACAUUUGCCGACACCGUUUAUAUAUCUUUCCGUGAUGACUCUCCGUCAACCGGAUUGAUAUUUUCAUAUCCGUAGUUCACCACUUACUUCCCAUCCGUCCACCAUAUACCACUUCGGGCCCGCACUACAUUUAUAAGGCGAUACUAUACGAGUAUGCCAAGCGAGAUCUCUCAAUAGAUCAAGCUUAUCAUUUGAGUUCAUGGCUCACCGAGGUUCCCGACCAAGCCCAUGCCGGCUCGAGUUCCAAGGUCGGCCUAUGAGUUUGGGCGUCCCCCAUUUGUCAUGUAAAUGUCGAGGAGAUUCACUCCAUCGACGUAUGCAAUCAUAGCAUACCAUUUCAUGUAUUCAAGCAUUUGAUAGGUUUAAGCAGACAUUUCAAGUCAUGUAAACCAAGCAAAUCAUGUUAAGCAUGAGUCAUUCGUUUCAAAUGAGAACGAGUGCGAUCAAGUACACACUCGACUCCAUUUUGUCAAAAUCAGUUAAGCUAAGCAUGAAAUCAGGUGAAUCAAGCAUGAAUCAAGACUUUAGGGUUCAAGUAGGCAUACACUUGACACUCACCAAGUUAUGCAAGCAAGUAAAUUGGAGGAAGAGUUCAAACUUCCACAGUAGGGUCCUCUUGGAGGUCCUCGUGCGUGCCUGAGCAAAUAAUAGUGAAUUGUCACCCAUAUCCCAAAUAUCGAGGAAUAAUUCGUUCACUAGUAUUACUCUAGGAAAUUCCGUGAAAAUAAACCUCAAUUACUCGUAAAUCGAGGUUCGAGAGAGGUUUAAUAACAUUCAACAAUAUUUAAGUCUUUAUCUAGGAAAUCGGGGAUAAAACGUUUAGAUAAUAUCAAAAGAAUAAAGAGUUCUUGAAAAACUCUAUUUCCUUGAAAGUUGGAAAAUUUUCAGUUUUGUUAUGAAUCUUUGAAAAAUCGUAACUCACUCGGUAUAAGUCGAGAAUUGGAAAACUUUAUACCGUUGAAAACCUCUUAGAAAGUACUGCAAGUUCCUAGAAGACACUUUUCCAUGAAUCGAAGUGGAAAGUGCUAAAAAAUGAGCCUAAAGUUGUUGUUCCAAAUCACCCAGGAUUGAGCCGGGGUUGGUUUUUCGCUAACUUUGAAAAUUCGGCAGAAUUCACUCGUUCCAAACCAACCCUUGAAAUUUAUAUAUCAAUUAGAGGUGCAAGUAAGGUUUAGGUCAGAACAAACGGAUCAAGAAUCGGAGUUUUGAGCACCAAGAUAUGGUAGCUCAAAGUUGGGAAAAAUUCAAGACUGUUACAAAAUUUCCAGAUUUGGUUCCAACUUUGGACCUUUAGUUAAGUGCCGAAACGGACUUGGAUUGACACCAAAUUUUGCAGUAUAAUACUUCCAUAUGAAGGUUAUCUCUCUAUCAAAUUUCAUGGAAAAAUACCCUCGGGAGGGGGGUCAUUCAAUCAACCAAAGUUUGGAAAAAUCCUUAAGGCAAUCUGUCCAAAUCUAAGAUUUUCAAAACGAGCAGUUGCCGUAUUUUGAUCAUAACUCUCUCAAUUUAACUCGGAAUUGGGAAUGGUUGAUAGUUUUAGAAAAUAAAUUCAUAGGGCUACAACUUCACAGAAGAAAUCGUUUCAAGUUUCAGCAUGCAACUGGUUCAAAAUCAAGGCUCAAGUUGCAGCAUUAUCAAAUCAUUUCGGCAGAACGGAGAAACAGGACAGCCGACUUCAGAUGAAUGGUGUGGCUCACACACAUAAAACCAGGACGUGCAUUAUACACCGAUAAAAAUAUGGAAAUGUCUAGUUUCAAAUGCCACUAACGGCACCUGAUUUCGACAUCGGAGUACGGAGUUAUGGACGAAAUACAACCACUGGUCUGGAUUACGGCGAAACCGUUUUCCAGUUUACUAGUUUUUGAAAUAAAUUUGUUUGAGCAACCAAAACUCAAUAUUUUUCAACGAAAUUUUGUACACAACUUCUACAACAUGUAAAAUACACAAUCAAGCCAUUAAAUCCUCAAUUUCUGCAAUAAAAUGACCGAACAGAGCAGGGGCAAAAUGGUCAAGUUUGGCCCUUGCUCUCUACGUGAGUUUCCUGCAGUUUUUCUUCGACGAAACACUAACUUAAACACUAAUCCGUCAUCAUAAACUUCAUCAAGCAUAGAAUCAGCAACAACCCAAGAGUGGGAAUUCAUAGAGCCCACUUUUUCCAACAAUACAAGCUACUAAAGUAAAGAUUCCAACUCAAAUGCGUAAAUCAAACUCCAUAAACAAGUUUAAGAAGUUAGAUGGCUACCUACUUUGAUGGCUGUUCAAAUCAGAAAAUUUCGGUCCCUAUGAAGCCUGAAGACAGCCGUGAAACUCCUCCCUUUUCCAGCCUAAGUUGUUGUCCAAGUGAAAAGCUAAACGAAUGUGAAGUUUGGUGAGAAUCUAUGGAAGUUUUGGUAGGAAUUUGGUUGAGUUUUAGAAGAAAAGAAAUGGUGACUUUGGUUGUUCCUUUGCUGCAGUCUAGCCGGCCAUUGU